rnacentral:rRNA from 1 species
UACAGAGGGGGCAAGCGUUGUUCGGAAUUACUGGGCGUAAAGGGCGCGUAGGCGGCCUGUUAAGUCGAACGUGAAAUCCCCGGGCUCAACCCGGGAACUGCGUCCGAUACUGGCAGGCUUGAAUCCGGGAGAGGGAUGCGGAAUUCCAGGUGUAGCGGUGAAAUUCGUAGAUAUUCGCAAGAACACCAGUGGCGAAGGCGGCUCACUGGCCCGGUACUGACGCUGAGGUGCGAAAGCGUGGGGAGCAAACAGG